AACUUAUUUCAACUCUCUCCUCUCUCUCUCUCUCUCUAGGGUUUUGUUUUUCAUCGAUUGCACGAAAAAUUCCCCAAUUGGUCGUAUCUAUUCGAUCGAAAUGGAAUAUGGAGGCGGAGAUUUGGAAGCGAAAAUUGACAUGUUGCUGAAUGUGGAGAAGCAGAUGAGGCAAGUAGGUGAUGUUGCAGAUACGAGGAAGGCCGUCACACCUCUUGAAAUUCUUCUUCUCACACCUCAAACAAUACCCCUCAGUUUCUCCCUCCAAGAAAGCCAAAGCCGGCGAAGGAGAGACGCCGCAGUUCAGUCCUCCCACCGCCAAAAUACCCUCACCCAACCCCACCAUCAAACCAUUUCCCUUCUCCUCUGUUCACUUCUUCGAGGAAAAAGUUUAAAGAAAGCAGGUGAAGUUCAUGGUGGUAUGGCCGACUCAAGGGUUCGAAUGUGAUGGUACGGCAGCACCCGCGGGAGAAGCAGCUGAGGAUGUGGGUCCAAAUCCAAGAAAGGAAAACCCCGCUGGAAAAAACCCUUAAACCACCGUUUUCUCCCCAUCAUGAAACCCCACCCACACUCACAUGGUGAAACCCUCUCACCUUCAUUUCUUUUUUCUUGUGUUCAUUUCUCACCCAAAAAACAGAGUAAAGAAAACCAAGAAAAGCAGGGGGGAGAGACAGAGCGAGAAGGAGGCCUCAAAUUAUGGUUUGGGAUUACACUGGUUUUGGAUCUACAAGGUACAAUGCCAGAGACAUUAACAAAGAAAUACUAGGGUGUCAUUGUUAAGAGGAUAUAAAUCAGACAGGAGACCUGCAAACUUGACAAUGAUGGCAAUUCUGGAUGGCUUCAGAAGGCAUAUUCCGUUGAUUGCAGACCACUCAAUGUACCGCGUGCUGCUGCAUUCCAAGGGGCUCAUUAUAUUUCACCAUUGAAAAGGCACAUAAUCUCGUAUGCAUCUGGUAACCAAGCUUGUACACUCGUUUAAGGAAGGUUCGGAGGAAUGGUCCAAGAAGGCGGUAGAGCUUGAGGAUUCAUGAAGACUUUAGACUUUGGUUGUGGAAUUUCAAAAUUAUCUGUUUGUCUUAUGUCUUCAUACAUGCUGGACUCGAAUGGAAGGUGUAUGAGGUGGCAAAGACGGUCUUUGAAAACAAUGAAACAGAAACUAGAAAGUCUUUGCAAAGUGAUAAUGGUGGUAAAAAGUUGAUCAUUUUCUUGGCUUUCACUCUUCAUUUCAUCCAUCAAGCAUUCCUUUAUAUGUUUGCAUUGUUAUCUUGAGUUCUUGAUAUUUAUCAUCUACAUUAUGGGGUUGUGAUUUUCUUUUUAUCUAUGGCAAGUUUGUUCCUUUGAUAAAUAGUGUUGGAUGCUUUUUUAGUGGUUUUCAAUUACUUUACUACUGUGGUGUGGGUGUUUCUCAUCUUGUUUAAUUUGGUUGUGCUUUUAUGUUAUCUCAUUCAAGUAAACGACGUGUAUUGUGUUCUUUGUGGUAUAUCAAGCUCUGUGAGACAUUUUGUUGUCGG